rnacentral:rRNA from 1 species
GACGAACGCUGGCGGCGUGCUUAAUACAUGCAAGUCGAGCGAACGGACGAGAAGCUUGCGUCUUUGAUGUUAGCGGCGGACGGGUGAGUAACACGUGGAUAACCUACCUAUAAGUCUGGGAUAACCUCGGGAAACCGGAGCUAAUACCGGAUAAUAUUUUGAACCGCAUGGUUCUACAGUGAAAGACGUUCUUGCUGUCUCUUAUAGCUGGCUCCGCGCUGCAUUAGCUAGUUGGUAAGGUAACAGCUUACCAAGGCAACGAUGCAUAGCCGACCGGGGAGGGGGGUAGGCCACACGGGAGCGGGGACGCGCUCCAGGCUCCUACGGGAGGCAGCAGAAGGGAAUCUUCCGCAGUAGGCGAGAACCUGGCGCAACGGCGCCACGUGAGAGGUGGAGGUCUUGGGUGCGUGAAGCUCGGUUAUGGGGGGAAAACAUAUGUGUGAGGAGAUGUACACAUCUUGACGGUACCUGAACAAGAAGCCACGGCUAACUACGUG